GAUGAACGCUGGCGGCGUGCCUAAUACAUGCAAGUCGAGCGAACAGACGAGGAGCUUGCUCCUCUGACGUUAGCGGCGGACGGGUGAGUAACACGUGGAUAACCUACCUAUAAGACUGGGAUAACUUCGGGAAACCGGAGCUAAUACCGGAUAAUAUAUUGAACCGCAUGGUUCAAUAGUGAAAGACGGUUUUGCUGUCACUUAUAGAUGGAUCCGCGCCGCAUUAGCUAGUUGGUAAGGUAACGGCUUACCAAGGCAACGAUGCGUAGCCGACCUGAGAGGGUGAUCGGCCACACGGGAACUGAGACACGGCCCAGAUCCCUACGGGAGGCACCAGUGGGGAAUUUUCCGCAAUGGGCGAAACCCUGAGGGGGCAACGCCGCGGGGGGGAUGAAGGUUUUCGGUUCGUAAACCUCUUUUAUUGGGGAAAAACAAAUGUGUAAGUAACUAUGCCCGUUUGGACGGUACCUAACCAGAAAGCCCCGGCUAACUCCGG
rnacentral:rRNA from 1 species